GUCUCGUUGGUGUAGUUGGUUAUCACGUGGGUCUCAUAUCAUCACGUAUGACUGCUUGAUAGAAGCAGAUAUCCCAAGGCCGCCAGUUCGAGUCUGGCACGGGACA
rnacentral:tRNA from 1 species